rnacentral:rRNA from 1 species
GUAGGGAAUCUUCCACAAUGGACGAAAGUCUGAUGGAGCAAUGCCGCGUGAGUGAAGAAGGGUUUCGGCUCGUAAAACUCUGUUGUUAAAGAAGAACACCUUUGAGAGUAACUGUUCAAGGGUUGACGGUAUUUAACCAGAAAGCCACGGCUAACUACGUGCCAGCAGCCGCGGUAAUACGUAGGUGGCAAGCGUUGUCCGGAUUUAUUGGGCGUAAAGCGAGCGCAGGCGGUUUUUUAAGUCUGAUGUGAAAGCCUUCGGCUUAACCGGAGAAGUGCAUCGGAAACUGGGAGACUUGAGUGCAGAAGAGGACAGUGGAACUCCAUGUGUAGCGGUGGAAUGCGUAGAUAUAUGGAAGAACACCAGUGGCGAAGGCGGCUGUCUAGUCUGUAACUGACGCUGAGGCUCGAAAGCAUGGGUAGCGAACAGGAUUAGAAACCCUAGUAGUCC